UACGUAGGGGGCAAGCGUUGUCCGGAUUUACUGGGCGUAAAGAGCGUGUAGGCGGCCACGCAGGUCCGUUGUGAAAACUGGAGGCUCAACCUUCAGACGUCGACGGAAACCGUGUGGCUAGAGUCCGGAGGAGGAGAGUGGAAUUCCUGGUGUAGCGGUGAAAUGCGCAGAUAUCAGGAAGAACACCAAUGGCGAAGGCAGCUCUCUGGGACGGUACUGACGCUGAGACGCGAAAGCGUGGGGAGCGAACAGG
rnacentral:rRNA from 1 species